AAAAAAGAACGAGCCCAUCCCAGUGACAACACAGUCACUGGGCAGCUCUGGGAGGAUUUUUUUUCCCCCAUUGCCAAAAUAUGAGGAAUGCUCGCUGGGCACCGGAGUGGCGCUGGCACGUUUCCGAGAAACACUGGGAAAUCUGAGCAGGGGUGUGGAAACUGGCUCGCCGGCCAUGACACCCGGCCCGCGCCCGGCCCGCCACCAGGAUGACAGCGGCCUGGCCGACCCUGCGCCCCACGGUCGCACCGUCAGCCCUGUGGCCUACCUGAGGGAGCCGGGCAGUGCCGGGUCCCGUCGUGCAGCGGCAGCGGUGGUUGAGAGAACGCGUUGGUUGCGGUCACAUUCGGCGUGUCCCCAGCCCGGGGGACGGGGCCCCGGGGAGGCCCCGCAUCGCUGCACUAGCGCCCCGCGCCUCAGGGCACGCGCCCCAAAGCUCGGCCAGCUGGCCCGUCCGAGGGCCUGCGGAGAACAACAGAGAAGCCUUCCCGCCUCAAGUCCGCUCGGCUCUAACUCCCGCCAUCCAAGAUGGCGGCACCAGCACCCGCGAAGAAGACGCUCUCAGGCUAUCCCGGGCGAGCUAGCCCUGCGCUCGACACUCGUCUCCACGACCUGCGGCGCCGCCGGGCUCACUGCCUCUGCGCGAGCUCCUGGGCUCGGCAGUCCGCUUAAAACUCGGCUCGGGGAUCUAUCGCUCGAGCCUGGAAUGUGGCCCCGCCUCCGGGGGCGUGGCCUCGCGGUCCUGCGGCCGCCAUUUCGGGGUUGACUCCGUGGUAGCAGAGUGACUGUUUCUGGUUGGAGGCCAGUGGUAUUGGGCUGCAGCCGCGGUCCGGCCACCCGCGAGGCCCUCAGCGGGCCAGACGCGCCUGGUGACACACGGCACAGGGCUCCAGCUCUGGUGCUUCCUCUCCGAAGUUGACAUCCGUGGAGAAUGGCGGCCUAGGGGUUUUGUGGGAAAGCCCUCAUGCUAUGUGAAACCUCAGGUUCCUCAUUUGUAGAUGGAGUGUUCGCUGUAGUACACCAAGUUGACCAAAAACUAAAAGUAUGGUGUUGCACACCUGUAAUGCCAGCGCUUGGAAAGUGAGGGCAAGAGGGUCGGGAGUUCACGGUCAUAUGAGCUGCAUGAGACCCUGUCUCAAAAAAGAAAAAAAAAUUAAAAUUGAUGCGACAAUAUGGCCCACCGUAAACUGAAGCCUGUUGUGCGUCUUCGUACAGCCCCCGUGGAAUAGACACCUGGAGGGCAAUGUGUAUUGUCAAUUGUGCUUUUUUUUUUUUUUCCCCUCUUUGAAAUAGGUUCUCAAUUUUAUUUAUUUAUUGUGGUUUUUCGAGACAGGGUUUCUUUGUCUAACAGCCCUGUCUGUCCUGGAACUCACUUUGUAAACCAGGCUGGCCUCGAGCUCAAAGAGAUCGCUCUGCCUCUGCCUCUUGAGUGCUGGGAUUAAAAGCAUGUGCCAGAUUCCCUCUUAAUUUGAGGCUGGCCUCAGACUCUGGUUCUCCUACCUCUGUGUAAGUAUUUUCCAAGUAGCCAUUUGGGGACCCGCAAGGUGACUCAGAGAGUAAAAAGUGUGCAGAGUAAAACCUGAUGGAAGAGAGAACAGGCUCCUGAAAGUUAUCCUCUGACCUCCAUUCGAACCCGGUGCUACGUGCGCAACCUGCAACCGCAUUUACAAAUACACAGACAAGUUUUUUUUUGUUUUUUUUAAGUAACCAUUUAUAAGUAAACAUCUUUUGGCAUUUAGUGCGUUCACAGUAUUGUGUAACCACAACUUUGGUUCCAAAACAUUUCCAUUACUCUGAAAUAAAAUUACCCACUAAGCAGUUUAGUUUCUCACUAGCUCCCACCCAGAGCAACCACCAAUACUCAUUUUGCUACUACAGACCUGACUUCUAGAUUAUCUUGUGUGCGUGGAUACUUAUAAAGUAUGGGGCCCUUUAUGAUUUAAGUCUUUUCACUUAGCCUGUUUCCGAGUUCAUCUGUAACACAUGUGUGCUAAUACUUCACUCCUCUUUAGAGCUAAACUAUUUCAUCAGAAGUUUACACCAGAUUUUCUGUCUAGGAUAACCAUGGAAAUUUAGGUUCUUUCCAUCUUUUGGCUUUUGUAUUGGUUACUUUUCUGGUUUCUGUGACAAGAUAAUGGACAAAUGCAGGGUUAAAAAAAAGGGGGGGGGAGGUAGGCCCAAAGGGGAAUGGCUAACCACUGGGUAGUGGUUAGGGCACCAGCUGCUCUUGCAGAGGACUUAGGUUCAAUUCUCAACACCCACAUGGUAGUCACAACCACUCAUAACUCCAGGUGCAGAGGAUCAAAUGCCCUUUCCUGAUCUCUGUGUACCAGACACAUAGUACACAGAUACACAUAAAUAGAUUAAAUCAUAAUAAUAAAAGAAAGGAAGGGCUUCUUA